rnacentral:rRNA from 1 species
CAGUAGCCGCGGUAAUACGAAGGGGGCUAGCGUUGUUCGGAAUCACUGGGCGUAAAGGGUGCGUAGGCGGAUUCUUAAGUCAGGGGUGAAAUCCCGAGGCUCAACCUCGGAACUGCCUUUGAUACUGGGGAUCUUGAGUCCGGAAGAGGUGAGUGGAACUGCGAGUGUAGAGGUGAAAUUCGUAGAUAUUCGCAAGAACACCGGUGGCGAAGGCGGCUCACUGGUCCGGAACUGACGCUGAGGCACGACAGCGUGGGGAGCAAACAGGAUUAGAUACCCCUGUAGUCCCUGUCUCUUAUAC